CCAGUAAUUCCGUAGUCGAGGCUGAGAGGUCGAUCGAUCACAUUGGGUCUGAAAAAACCCCAAUACGUAUAGUACAGCAGUGGGGAAUAUUGGUCAAUAGCCUAACGGCUGAACCAGCAACUUGGGGGGAAUGAAUAGCUCUUGCGAGCUAGUUGUACUGGGUUAUAAUUUAUUGUAAAGAAUGUAUCGCGCUUAAAUUGUUUAUAGUAAAUUAUUGCUUUGACUGCUAUGAAAAAGAGUAUACAUUGAGUAUACUCAGUCAAUUAAUUGUCGCGUAUCGAGAGGUAUUAAAUGUAACGAAUAGUUAAGCGGACAGUAUAAGGUCGAUUUUAUCGAGUAAAGUUCUAGAUAGGAUAAUGAUUAUGACAAUUUCCUAUCUAUAUGUCUUGACCAAAUUACGUGCCAGCAGUCGCGGU
rnacentral:rRNA from 1 species